rnacentral:tRNA from 1 species
GGUCUAUUAGCUCAGUCGUAUAGAUGAACUGAUUUUUACCUGACUUUUAAUCAGGGUGUCCCGCGUUCGAGUCGCGGAUAGAUCACCA